rnacentral:rRNA from 1 species
AUUGAACGCUGGCGGCAUGCUUUACACAUGCAAGUCGAACGGCAGCGCGGGCUUCGGCCUGGCGGCGAGUGGCGGACGGGUGAGUAAUGCAUCGGAACGUGCCCAGUAGUGGGGGAUAGCGCGGCGAAAGGCGGAUUAAUACCGCAUACGACCUGAGGGUGAAAGCGGGGGACCGAAAGGCCUCGCGCUAUUGGAGCGGCCGAGGUCGGAUUAGCUAGUUGGUGGGGUAAAGGCUUACCAAGGCGACGAUCCGUAGCUGGUCUGAGAGGACGACCAGCCACACUGGGACUGAGACACGGCCCAGACUCCUACGGGAGGCAGCAGUGGGGAAUUUUGGACAGUGGGCGCAACCCUGAUCCAGCCAUGCCGCGUGCGGGAAGAAGGCCUUCGGGUUGUAAACCGCUUUUGUUCGGGAAGAAAUCCUCUGGGCUAAUACCCCGGUGGGAUGACGUUACCGGAAGAAUAAGCACCGGCUAACUACGUG